AGAGUUUGAUCAUGGCUCAGAUUGAACGCUGGUGGUAUGCUUAACACAUGCAAGUCGAACGGUAACAUUGGAGCUUGCUCCAGAUGACGAGUGGCGGACGGGUGAGUAACGCGUAGGAAUCUGCCUAGUAGUGGGGGACAACAUGUGGAAACGCAUGCUAAUACCGCAUACGCCCUACGGGGGAAAGCGGGGGAUCUUCGGACCUCGCGCUAUUAGAUGAGCCUGCGUUAGAUUAGCUUGUUGGUGGGGUAAUGGCCUACCAAGGCGACGAUCUAUAGCUGGUCUGAGAGGACGAUCAGCCACACUGGGACUGAGACACGGCCCAGACUCCUACGGGAGGCAGCAGUGGGGAAUAUUGGACAAUGGGCGCAAGCCUGAUCCAGCAAUACCACGUGUGUGAAGAAGGCCUGAGGGUUGUAAAGCACUUUCAAUUGGGAGGAAAACAGCUGGGUUAAUAGCCCUGCUCUUGACAUUACCUUUAGAAGAAGCACCGGCUAACUCCGUGCCAGCAGCCGCGGUAAUACGGAGGGUGCGAGCGUUAAUCGGAAUUACUGGGCGUAAAGCGUACGUAGGCGGUUAUUUAAGUCAGAUGUGAAAGCCCCGGGCUCAACCUGGGAACUGCAUUUGAAACUGGAUAACUAGAGUUUGAUAGAGGAGAGUAGAAUUUCUGGUGUAGCG
rnacentral:rRNA from 1 species